UAAUACGAAGGGACCUAGCGUAGUUCGGAAUUACUGGGCUUAAAGAGUUCGUAGGUGGUUGAAAAAGUUGGUGGUGAAAUCCCAGAGCUUAACUCUGGAACUGCCAUCAAAACUUUUCAGCUAGAGUAUGAUAGAGGAAAGCAGAAUUUCUAGUGUAGAGGUGAAAUUCGUAGAUAUUAGAAAGAAUACCAAUUGCGAAGGCAGCUUUCUGGAUCAUUACUGACACUGAGGAACGAAAGCAUGGGUAGCGAAGAGGAUUAGAUACCCUCGUAGUCCAUGCCGUAAACGAUGUGUGUUAGACGUUGGAAAUUUAUUUUCAGUGUCGCAGCGAAAGCGAUAAACACACCGCCUGGGGAGUACGACCGCAAGGUUAAAACUCAAAUGAAUUGACGGGGACCCGCACAAGUAGUGGAGCAUGUGGUUUAAUUCGAAGAUACGCGCAGAACCUUACCAACACUUGACAUGUUCGUCGCGACUUUAAGAGAUUAAAGUUUUCGGUUCGGCCGGACGAAACACAGGUGCUGCAUGGCUGUCGUCAGCUCGUGUCGUGAGAUGUUGGGUUAAGUCCCGCAACGAGCGCAACCCUCACUUUUAGUUGCCAUCAUUAAGUUGGGCACUCUGAAAGAACUGCCAGUGAUAAGCUGGAGGAAGGUGGGGAUGACGUCAAGUCCUCAUGGCCCUUACGUGUUGGGCUACACACGUGCUACAAUGGUAUCUACAACAGGAAGCAAAACGGCGACGUUAAGCAAAUCCUUAAAAGAUACCUCAGUUCGGAUUGCACUCUGCAACUCGAGUGCAUGAAGCUGGAAUUACUAGUAAUCGUGGAUCAGCGUGCCACGGUGAAUGCGUUCCCGGGUCUUGUACACACCGCCCGUCACACCAUGGGAGUUGGUUCUACCUUAAGGCAAGGUUUAAAACCCUUGACCACGGUAUAGUCAGCGACUGGGGUGAAGUCGUAACAAGGUAGCCG
rnacentral:rRNA from 1 species